rnacentral:rRNA from 1 species
GACGAACGCUGGCGGCGUGCUUAACACAUGCAAGUCGAACGGAAAGGCCCUGCUUUUGUGGGGUGCUCGAGUGGCGAACGGGUGAGUAACACGUGAGUAACCUGCCCUUGACUUUGGGAUAACUUCAGGAAACUGGGGCUCAUACCGGAUAGGAGCUCCUGCUGCAUGGUGGGGGUUGGAAAGUUUCGGCGGUUGGGGAUGGACUCGCGGCUUAUCAGCUUGUUGGUGGGGUAGUGGCUUACCAAGGCUUUGACGGGUAGCCGGCCUGAGAGGGUGACCGGCUACAUUGGGACUGAGAUGCGGCACAGACUACUACGGGAGGCAGCAGAGGGGAAGAGUGCACAAGGGGAGGAAGCCUGAUGCAGCAACGCCGCGUGCGGGAAGAGGGGCAGCGGGUUGGAAACUGAUUUCGUCUGAGACGGAGCGUGAGUGACGGUAAUGGGUAAAGAAGCACCGGCUAACUACGUG